UUUUUUUUCAGAUAUACUAAAAAAGUCAAAAUUAAUUAAUGUCAGAAACACAAAUGAGGGCUGGCCAUGAACACUGGGCUGUGCUAGGAGGAGGGAGGCCGAGCUUUGUGCCACCCACCCUUGGCACUCUCCUCUAAGCUCAUGUACUAAACUCCCCGCCUGUUCUGAAGCUUCAGAAUUUCUCCGAGGCUAAGGAAGUGGAAAUACACCUCCGAUGAAGACCACCUCAAUCUUCCUUUCCCGGAAGCUAAAGCUCACAGGCUAGCAAUAGCCACAAGGCCAACAGCAUUUUCAGCCUCUAAGACUGUUUCAGAUGGAUCAAGCAACCUGCUUUCUGUGCAUACAGACUUGGCCCAAAGGUGUUGUUCAAACCCAGGUCUCUAUGCAAAAUAAAAGGUAAAAGAUACAGAAAAUCAAGAGACAGCAUUUCAUUGGGAUUAAAAGAAAGCGAUUAAAAUGAUAAAUAGUGGAAACUAGGCAUGACUACCCAGACAGGCAUUCACUUUGAAGUUCUGAGAAUAUGUGCUUCAGACAGUAAACACAGGAAAACUAGGCUUGCCUAAUUUGAUGGUACCCUGGGUGAAGUUUUCAGAGGUUGGCAUAACAUUUCAGAAGCUCAUUGAAACAAAGAUGUCAGCAGCAAUCAUUGCUGAUGCUUAGAGCUGAAUGUGGAAGUUAGAGUGCGAACAGAAUAGAAAUCACCAGGAAAGCUUUUCAUCUGGGAAUUACUGUGAUAUGAAGAAUAUUCUCUUAACUUAGACAUCACUGUAAAAUAAAAAAGGGUUGAUAUUAGAAAUAAAUUGGGAC
rnacentral:lncRNA from 1 species